GAAGCAAGAAACUCAGAACCAAAAAGAAGAAUUGAUAGAAAUGCAAAACAAUUGUAUUGUUCUUCCAUCGGCACUUCCACUUUCCUUAUUUUACUUGUU
rnacentral:ribozyme from 13 species